AUAAAAAUAAAAACAUUUUAAUAUUUGCAAUUUAAUUUUCAUCACAGAAAUUUACAAAUGGGCCCUAGCUUAAUCCAUGACCUUCUAUAAAAUACAUCACAUUUGUCACUGGCAAUCGGAUAAUGCGAUAAUAAAAUCCUGAAGCAUUGCCUUAAUUACAAGUUCUAAACACGUGAUUCUUGUUAUUUCUAACUAUUUGUGAUCACAUCUUUCUACUUUUUCACAUGUAAUCUAAAUUACUGGAAUCAACAGGACUAAAAUGAGGGAAAGCUCGCCAAUUGCCUGGUAACUGGCAAAACGCGUGCACGCAUAGGGCCACAUUCACCUCUCUCAAACAUAAUCAUAAACUCCAUGUAUUCAGCAAAGUUUCAUGUCCUUACAUUUUCUUGUAUUCAGAAACCAGUAAAACAGAAUUAUCCUUAAAGUGAUCACGUGUGUUCACUGACAAUUUAACAAGUUAAAUAAUAUAGUGAGAAUUUACCAUCUAUUUGGUUACUGCUGUGACCCUCAGUGCCAAGUUUUUUUCCAGCUAGCUUUCAAACAGCCUGGUUUUUCUUCAGCUAUGGUGUUUCCAUAAAAUUGAUUGCUUUCAAUUGUAGUUUAGCCAGUGUAAUAUAUCUUUUGUGUAUUUAUUAAUAUAUAUGUAUACACACACACAUGCACAUAAAACAGGAUGUUUUACAGUGCCGGAGUCUGUGGACUUAAAGCCAGCGAGCAGCCUACGUAAAUGGCCAUCAGUUUUAGGAAAGUUUAUGUAAAAAAUUAAGGAAGACCUACGACAAGCUUUAACAGCCAACUUAGUCAUUAUAGAAAGUCCUGUGCUCCAUGCUGAGAAGCCAGAUACAAAUAAGAAACACUAUAGGUUUCCUCUCUUUUUGUAGUCUUUUGUAGAAGGCUAAAACGACACCAUCAUACAGUUACCUAAAAGACUUGACAGGUAUUGAUUUAAAGCACGAUAUAUCAAGAGGUACUGUAAAAAGGAUUUCAUGGUCAUAAAUUUUAAUGUAUUCCAAUUUUGCACUCUCUCGGUAACUUGUCAAUAACAACAAUCCCACUUAAAAUAUUUGCUUCAUUCCUGCAUGGCAUUACGUCUAUUAUGCAGUUAUUUGGAUACAUAAUUCUGUGACAAAAAUCCACUGAGUGCUAUAAAUCAAAGGUUCGAUUUUCUUCUCCAUAAAUUGUUUGAUAAUGUUUUAAUGAAGCAAAGUACAGCUUCCUGCUAUGGAUAUUUGUAUCAAAAGAAAAUCUUUUCACAGAAAUGUUUCACGCCUUAAAAAAUCGUACGUGUGUUUUUAUUUUUGUUGUAAUUUUAAGUACAAAGUAAAAUCUCUUCUUUAUUUCUUCCAGAAAGUUAGGUUUUCAGCAUUUUGUAGGAAUUGCUUGUACACUCUCCCUCUUUAGAAUUAGUUUAGAAGGCAUCAUAUUAAAAAUAAGGAGCAUCAUGAGCUGAUCAGUAGUGACAUUUAAUUAAAGCGACUAAAAUACAUUUGGUUAGAAAGAAUGGAAAGCAUUAGCUCAAGGAAUUUGUCUGCCUAUAAUUUCUUUCUUAAAAAAAAAAAAAAUCAGAUUAUUGUGAAGUAUUUGCCAUAUUAAAAUUUGAGACAGAGUAUCUGACCGCCCUCGAGAUCCUAACUGUUUAAUGGGAACUAAAAUAAAAUCAAACGACUUGUGGAUUUUAAAGAAACGUGGCAACACUGAAAGGUUACAAUUGCUUUCUAUCAAAAGAAAGCACUCACAAUCCUUUCAUGGCACACAUUUAUCAGAGAGCCAUUGCAGGCUGACACAAGGAAUUCCGGUGAUGGGAAUCUUUUCUCCAUUCUGUUGUUUAAAACAGUGGCACGCGUGUGCUGUGAUAUGGGAUCUAUUGCAUGUAGCGACGAGCUUCUUUCUAGCUUCACAUCCGGGAGCCCAAUGGAAGAGUCCCGUUCCUUCCCCAGGCUGGGCCACAUGCCGUGGGCAGAUGCCCACAGUGCCAGUGUCACCCCAGAGCCGCACCCCAGAGCUUCCUGAGGACCCCAGGGGUCCCUGGGUACCGCACGAGGGCUGGAGGAGGUGUGGGCCCAACAUGGGGCACGGCAGUAGCCCCAGGCCCUUGGCCUAGCCCGAGGUGCCCCGCUGUAGGGCUGGGAGGCAUGAAAGGCUUGGGGAUGGGGCUCGUGGCUACAACCCGCUCUGCCGUGUGGCAUAGAGGGAUUAAUUUGUGUCACGGCGAGGCUUGAGGAGCCGGGAGCUGCAGUAGCCCCGCUUUAUUGAAGCGCUCCCACAGCACGGCACAGGGGAUGGUGCAGCCAUCACGUUGCCUGUGAAAUUCCCUUAGAAACGGGCUAAUAACGUCGAGUGCCACACUUUGAAAACUGUCAAACAAAUUAGAUAUGUAUUUGUUUUAAUGUGGCUAAGUACAAUAACAGAUUAGAACGGAUUAUGUGGCUGUCUAUUCACAUUGGAAAAUCUCUGGUAGAAAAAAAAAAAAGGCUACACCUAUUUUUAUUUUCCUACUGUAUGUUCAUACAAGAAAGGAUUAAUAAAAAGUGCUUCAUAACACUUCAGGGCACCUCUGGCAGCAGUUUAAUAUACGGUGGCUAAAUAAAUACCCCAGCCUACCUGCACCUGCGAACCACAACAAAAACAUAAGCAGCCCUGAGCAUUAUGUGAUGCAGAGCCAGUGCUAAGAACUGAGGGGACGAUCCCUGCAUGGCCGGAAACUUCUCAGUUCGGUAAACCUCAUUUUCUGAACACAUUUUAUUGCAGUUUAUUUACGAGUGACUGGCAGUUCCAUUUAUAAAGGUAAAAUUCAGAGUUGCAUUGUACUCUAGCACUGCUGACUUCCCCAGACCAAUAGUUCCACCAGAGAUGACCCAUGGAAGAUGUAUGGACUGAAAUGAGGAGGGAGAAGAAAGAAUUCUGGGUCCCUUCAAACAUACUAAAUGCAAGUAUUGAGCCAGAUAUUUUUAUUGUUAAAAAUCUGGCACACAGUCCAGUUAAAUAAUAAAAGAAAACAAGUAAAAUAAUUAGUUCAGUAGCAGAAAGUCUGCGAGGCAUAGGAGAGCCUCAAGUGGUUGGAACAUUUUGCUUGAACAUCUGUUUGUCGAUGCAUGAUUCUGGUGUUAUUAAUCUUCUUUGUAGGUAAGCAGGUGAUUCACCCUAACCAAAUUGCUGUUGUCCAGGAACAGUUCUCUCCCAGCCCUGAAAAAAUAAAGUGGGCACAAGAACUGAUUUCUGCUUUUGAAGAACAUCAGCGUUUAGGAAAGAGCCUUCUGAGUACAUGCAUAUAUAUCUGCAGCAUCGGUGAAUUAAAACUGCUUCUGAGUCGCACCACCAAAAGAAAAUAUUUGCCAGCAAAAGGCAGGUAGCUGAGCAGAAGACUCCAACAGCUUGUGCGGGCAUAAUUGAUGGAAAGGGAUAAACAGAUGAGGAAGAUUCAGUUUUCAGAAAAUCUCUGCGUUGGUAAAACUACCUCACUUUUGGGGGGUUGAUUCUGCAAACGUCCCUAGCAGCGAGUAGAUUUACUUCUGAGCAGAGCUGCUUGCGGAUUGUGGUUCUUAAUCAUUAAAAAUGGGAAUGUUUUAUGUGCAUUUACACCGAUUGCUGGACCUGAAAUUUGGAUAGAGUGGAAAGCAAAUUAACACUAGAAUAUGAUUGUUCCUAAUUUAGUGCAUCAUUGAGUCUCACGUUUCCUGCUCUGUGGGUUUCUGCUAUGUAAAUAUUGCGGUGGUGAUGCGCAAUCUGUCUCCACUUUGUGCCAGUAAUACUUAAAUUAGGGGUCGCCUGAAGGAAGAUUUUAUGCUAGUUGCAGCAUUGUCAGUUAAUUAUCUUAAAGGUUAUUUGCUAUAAUCCAGUUUGCCUCUUUUUGAAUGAAAAAAGUUGUGGUGAAAUAUGUUUGUCUUAGUGACAGCCAAGCCCGGGACAGCCAAAAUCCCGAUGUCAGAGCGGGUUGUGGGGGCGUGCAGAAAUGGUUUACACUUGCAUGCAUGCAAUUCAAGUGGGAAAAAAUAUCUUUGUUAACGAAGCUCACAUGUAGGGCCGUGCAUAGAUUCUCGCUUUCUCUGGUACAGCUUAGAGAUUUUUUGUGUGUUUUGUCACUUGCUGGUGGGUAGGAAUAAGCUGCAGCGUGCCCCUUCCCCGUUCCCUUGUAUCUCGGCUGCCCCAGGUGUUGUGUGUUACAGAUUCUAAAAAAGGUCAAAGCAGAAACGAUGCUUUCAUCUCAGGAUGAAAGUGUGACAAGGUAUUUGUUAUUGGUCUGCCCUUUUCUUUGCGAAGCUGCCGCAUCCCGUCUGCGGUGCCGAGGUGUUUCUAAUGCGUCCUUUACUAUCAUAUUUGGGUGCCAUCCUGAGCAGUUACUUCAGGGUCACUGUUACUGUGUUACGUGCCUGGAUCUCUUUGUUCUACUUCUCCUAUUUUGGAGGGUGACUGUCUUCCUGUUAGUGGUUUAGAAACAGAAAAUCUGUGACCAGCAUUGCACGUUAUCUUGAUUUUAAAAGCUUGGGUCUGUUGGCAAAGGAAGCAUUAUAAAUGUGCUGCUAGAGCAAGAGUGUGUGCAGGUAGAUGCAGAAUGAAAAAAUCAUAUGACAUGUUCAGCCUGAUAUUGUUUAUUUUUUAUUGCUUAUAAUAUGCUUUUAAUUCACUGAAUUUAGAAACUCAUCUAUGGAAUACCCCUGUCGUUUGUACAGCCAGUGAGGAGACUGGGAGAUGUAACUAUAGUCCCAGUCUCACACAACAAUGAAGCUACAGAUGUUAAAAUGCAAGCACUCUGCAUUAGCAAGCAUUAUUAUUUGGAUUUGUUUCGAAGCUGCAAUUUUAUUGGCACAACAUUGGUUUCCUGAUCACAUCAGCCAUUUUUUGGUGUGUUUUAGUAAUUGCUUUUCAUUUAGAUUGUAAGCUUCUGUAAGCAGACACAAGUACAGAUUUGUGGGGGUUUGCAUCUUGGUGUAUUAUUUCAACCAUGCUUCAUAUAUGUAUGCUUUGUAUUUUUUUACACUCAGCUGCCUGUCUGUAAAAAGAACUGGCAGGUUAAUCUGAGAACUUCUGAGCCUCGCACUGCUCCAGUGUUGCUGGGCUUCCUAACCAAACAGUUUUCCCUCUAGUGUUUCCUGCAAACUUCUUAGCUGGGUUUGCAUUUUGGUAUUAAAAACGUGUCAGCUAGAAGAGCUCGGGCAGCCUGAUUACUUCAUAUUUUUCCAAAGCAAACAUAUCUCACCGAGGGAGCCUCUGGCUCUGCGUCCUAGAGACACGCUAAAAUGUAAGUAAUAACUCUUCCCGUGCCACCUCCUGACAAAUGCUCCACACAGUGGUUUUAGUAAUCCUCAUGUCCUAAUGAAACACCUCUUCUGUU